UACGUAGGGGGCUAGCGUUGUCCGGAAUCAUUGGGCGUAAAGCGUGUGUAGGCUGCUCCGAUAGUCGGAUGUGAAAGCCCUGGGCUCAACCUGGGAAGUGCAUUCGAUACUCCGGAGCUUGAGUCCUGGAGAGGAAGGCGGAAUUCUCGGUGUAGAGGUGAAAUUCGUAGAUAUCGAGAGGAACACCGGUGGCGAAGGCGGCCUUCUGGACAGUGACUGACGCUGAGACACGAAAGCGUGGGGAGCAAACAGG
rnacentral:rRNA from 1 species